CCUACGGGAGGCAGCAGUGAGGAAUAUUGGUCAAUGGACGAGAGUCUGAACCAGCCAAGUAGCGUGAAGGAUGACUGCCCUAUGGGUUGUAAACUUCUUUUAUAAAGGAAUAAAACGAGGCACGUGUGCCUUUUUGCAUGUACUUUAUGAAUAAGGAUCGGCUAACUCCGUGCCAGCAGCCGCGGUAAUACGGAGGAUCCGAGCGUUAUCCGGAUUUAUUGGGUUUAAAGGGAGCGUAGAUGGGUUGUUAAGUCAGUUGUGAAAGUUUGCGGCUCAACCGUAAAAUUGCAAUUGAUACUGGCAGUCGUGAGUACAGUUGAGGUAGGCGGAAUUCGUGGUGUAGCGGUGAAAUGCUUAGAUAUCACGAAGAACUCCGAUUGCGAAGGCAGCUUACUAAACUGCCACUGACAUUGAUGCUCGAAAGUGUGGGUAUCAAACAGGAUUAGAUACCCCCGUAGUC
rnacentral:rRNA from 1 species